GGGUCGUUAGCUCAGUUGGUAGAGCAGUUGACUUUUAAUCAAUUGGUCGCAGGUUCGAAUCAUGCACGACCCACCA
rnacentral:tRNA from 1 species